GGUUAAGCGACUAAGCGUACACGGUGGAUGCCUAGGCAGUCAGAGGCGAUGAAGGGCGUGCUAAUCUGCGAUAAGCGUCGGUAAGCUGAUAUGAAGCGUUAUACCCGACGAUACCCGAAUGGGGAAACCCAAUGUGUUUCGACACAUUAUCAUUACGUGAAUACAUAGCGUAAUGAGGCGAACCGGGGGAACUGAAACAUCUCAGUACCCCGAGGAAAAGAAAUCAACCGAGAUUCCCCUAGUAGCGGCGAGCGAACGGGGAGGAGCCCAGAACCUGAAUCAGUUUGUGUGUUAGUGGAAGCGUCUGGAAAGUCGCACAGUAAAGGGUGAUAGUCCCGUACACAAAAAUGCACAGAUUGUGAGUUCGAUGAGUAGGGCGGGACACGUGACAUCCUGUCUGAAUAUGGGGGGACCAUCCUCCAAGGCUAAAUACUCCUGACUGACCGAUAGUGAACCAGUACCGUGAGGGAAAGGCGAAAAGAACCCCGGCGAGGGGAGUGAAAUAGAACCUGAAACCGUGUACGUACAAGCAGUGGGAGCCUUGAUUAAUCAGGGUGACUGCGUACCUUUUGUAUAAUGGGUCAGCGACUUAUAUUCUGUAGCAAGGUUAACCGAAUAGGGGAGCCGCAGGGAAACCGAGUCUUAACUGGGCGUUAAGUUGCAGGGUAUAGACCCGAAACCCGGUGAUCUAGCCAUGGGCAGGUUGAAGGUUGGGUAACACUAACUGGAGGANCGAACCGACUAAUGNUGAAAAAUUAGCGGANGACUUGUGGCUGGGGGUGAAAGGCCAAUCAAACCGGGAGAUAGCUGGUUCUCCCCGAAAGCUAUUUAGGUAGCGCCUCGUGAACUCAUCUUCGGGGGUAGAGCACUGUUUCNGCUAGGGGGUCAUCCCGACUUACCAACCCGAUGCAAACUACGAAUACCGAAGAAUGUUAUCACGGGAGACACACGGCGGGUGCUAACGUUCGUCGUGAAGAGGGAAACAACCCAGACCGCCAGCUAAGGUCCCAAAGUCAUGGUUAAGUGGGAAACGAUGUGGGAAGGCACAGACAGCCAGGAUGUUGGCUUAGAAGCAGCCAUCAUUUAAAGAAAGCGUAAUAGCUCACUGGUCGAGUCGGCCUGCGCGGAAGAUGUAACGGGGCUAAACCAUGCACCGAAGCUGCGGCAGCGACACUUAGGUGUUGUUGGGUAGGGGAGCGUUCUGUAAGCCGUCGAAAGUGACCUGUGAGGGUUGCUGGAGGUAUCAGAAGUGCGAAUGCUGACAUAAGUAACGAUAAUGCGGGUGAAAAACCCGCACGCCGGAGACCAAGGGUUCCUGUCCAACGUUAAUCGGGGCAGGGUGAGU
rnacentral:rRNA from 1 species